UUGAAACACCGGUUUCCGUACGAUGACCGAAGUUAAGCAACGUCGAGCCUGGUCAGUACUUACAUGGGUGAUCCUUGAGAAUACUU